GCUCGGUUAGCUCAGUUGGUUAGAGCAGUGUACUAAUACAACGUAACUUGUACUAAGUAAUGCAAAGGUCAUGAGUUCGACCCUCAUACUGAGCA
rnacentral:tRNA from 1 species